GUUAAAUUUCAAUAUGAACACUCAUUUUACUCGAGGCGUUUAGUUAACGCCGUUUGAAUACAAUGAGUGUUCAUAUUGAAAUU